UGAGGCUCGGCCCCAGCCCCACUCCCAAUCACCAAAACCUGUGUGCCUGCAGCAUUCUGCCCUUACCUUUGACUUCUAACAUGUUUAAAAUGUUGCAGUGCCACUGUAAGGUUGUCUACAGAGACUACAGGCCAGGUGCUGAGGAAGUGGAUCCCACAGGUUUUUCCAGAAAUAAAUCUACAGAGAUAAGUCAAAGCACUUUGGUUCCAAGGAAGCAAACCAUGAUGCUGGAUGAAACUGGCCAGAGAAGAGACAAGACAGAAACAACUCUGCUGACACCAAGAUCAGGAGGAGGGAGAUACUCCAGGAGCUGAAGUGGAAAGUCCCUUGCAGCUCACGGUGCAGACCAUGGCAAGGCAGGCUGUCUCCCUGCAGGGACCAUGGCAGACCAGAGAUCCACCUGCAGUCUGUGGAAGAAAAGGGACCCAUGCUGGAGCAGUUUGUAACAACUGCAGCUCCAUGGGAUGGACUCAUGUUGGAGAAGUUUGGGGAGGAUAGUCUCCCAUAAGGGACCCCACACUGGAGCAGAGGAAACAGCUUUAGAAAGCACGGGAUGAGCUGAUUGUAAACCACAUUUCCCAUCUCCCUGUGCUUUGUGGGGAGGGGAUAAAGUGUUGGGAAUAAGGUUGGGCAUGUGAUGGAAAGAGGUGUUUGUGGAAGGUGGUUUUAGGAUUUGUUUUACUUUUCAUUAUCCUGCCCUAAUUCUGACUGGUAAUAAACUCAACUAAUUUGCCUAAGUAAAGUCAGUUUUGCCAUGACAGUAUUUGGUGAGUGCCUCUCUCAGACCUUAGCUUAUGAGCCUUUCAUUAUGUUUUUUAUCUCCCUUGUCCAAUGGAGGAGAGAGAGAUAGACAAGAUUUGGUGGGUACUGGCAUCCAUCCAGAGUCAAGCCACCACAAAGACAAGGUAGUAAUAAAUGUAAACUAUAUAGAAAGGAUAUACGUGCUUAGAAUGGAUUUACAGAGAAGCUAAACAUUCUGUGGUCCACAGCUGCUUAACUUGAACUGCUCUUCUGUCCUUUAAAAUUGACCAUACUGGAUUUGAAAUCAUUACUUUCACUUUUUCCUAUACAUUAUAUCAUAUACCUGAUCUCCCAGUCAACAAAGCUUUUAAUGUAUGAAUAGGAAAAUGCAUUUGAAGUUUCAGUGAUUGGAACAAAACCUCAAUUUGAUUUUCUCUAGAAGUAUUGGGUGGAAUAAAUGCAGAAAGACAGCAGUGGAAAUUAAUAAAUUAUUUGACCCAUGUUUAAAAACAGGCACAUGUGUUCACUGUUGUUGAAUUGAGCCUAAAGAUUAUACCAACCUUUAAAGGCAGAUUGUUCCAUGUGAAAUAUCUUGAUUUUCUGUAGUAAGCAGUCUCAAUUCAAUAUUCUAGGAUAAAAUGAGAAGCCCAGUUCAAAAGAGUUGUGCAAGUUAAAAGAAAUUUGAUAUUGUUCCUAUUUUGCAACACAGUAUCUCUUAAAAGUGAUCUUUUGAUAAUUAUCUAUUGUUCAACUUGUAUAAACUCUCAGGAAGCUUUUAUUUUACUUUUUAGGCAUUUUCUUUUGUAUUCCUAUUUCAGUCACUAGCUUUAGCUUUUCAACAGUCACUACACCUUCCCCCAUGUGUUUUUUCAUCCCAACUGGAAAAUUAUUGCAUACUAAGGAGUUAGUGAUCCACAAAAGUUAACCCUAAGUAUGUCCAGGCCCGUGCUGUGCCACACUGUCCAUCCAGAACACACCUUGGGACCGUGUGGUGUGGCACAAACCCUUGGCCACAGCAUGACCCCAACUGGAUGUGAGUGCACUAUCAGUGUGGCCUCAGCUUUAGCUAAAAGGACAGUGAGAAGUUCUCCUGUGACCGUCACUUCUGUUUGACUGUAGAAGUGAUGGACUGAGUCAUUAAUCUUGCAAGGAUUGAUUCUUUGUAAGAAAAUUCAAUAAGAGCUCAAAUGAUCAAAAGUGGGAACUCUCUUCUUUGGACAGGGUCUGCAUUGCAUGUUGCAUGUGGGUUGUCAGCAACUAAGGGAAUCUAAGAUUAGCUGUACUAUUUUUUUCGUAUUUUAAUUCUCAUAAAUGGCAUCAUAAAUGAAUGAUACCUUACAGAGUCUGAGUGACUUAUGGGGACAAAAAUGGACCAGCACUUCCUGUUGCAGAACACCGUGUAAGAUAAUGGUUCUAUUUGCUCUUUUCCCCAAGGUUAUCUUAAAGGAUUAAAUUAUUGUCUUAACUUCAGCUGGCAACUAAGUACCUUGUGGCAGCUCACUCACUAACUCCCUGCCCUCCCCACCCCUGGUGGGAAGGAGAAUUGGAAAGAACAGGUGAGCUAAGAACAAUUUGAUAAUUGAAACAAAAUAUAAAAUAUGAAAAUAAAAACUGUAUACUACUACUACCAAUUUCAAUGUAAAGAAAGAGAUAUAUGUGAUAUGCUGUAACAUUGCUCACCAACACAUUGACUGAUGCCUGUCUGGUUCCCAAGCAGUGACUGGUGGCUCCCAGCCAACUCCUUCCAGUUAUAUGCUGGGCAUGAUGUUCUUUUGUACAGAAUAUCACUCAAAUAUGCAACAUCUAUUUCCACAAACAAAAGAAGAAAACUCUGUGACAAGACUUGGAUAUACUUAAUCUCUUCCUAUCUAAGUACUGUGAAAUACUGAGAAAUGUCCAGAUUUUGGCUGCUCCUGUAAGAAACUAACUCUGCCAACAGUGAUUGCUACAGCCUACUUCAUCUCUUCUAGCUGAGGGAGCUACGUCCAGUGCCCCAGGAAGGGGCUGGGCUUCCAUGCGUGUACCAACCACUUGAAGGACUAGAAAUCUGUUUCUUCUCAGGUCAGCAUGAUGUGCAUAUUUUCCAUGGCAUUCUGCUAUGAACUUGCAAGUCUGUGCUGAGACCACAACUUCUUCCCAAGUAGCUCUCAAAAGUUGUAUUUGCUUAUUAAUAGGCUGUUUAGAAGGUUUUGUUAUCUUUUUGCUUAGUGAGUUUUACAGGAAAGAAGUGAGCAGAGAGCAUCUUUACAUCAAAUGUGGUAAUUGUGCAUAACUGGCAACCUUUUAAGAACAUGCAAAGAGGAAUUUCUACCUACAUUUACAGUCGUCUAUUGUCAAAAAAGGACAAAGCAGUCACAGCUGAUGCUAUUUUUAGGCCUCCCAGAGUGUACUGCAGAGCAGAGACUGACACAAACUGAAGAAUAAUUGCAAUCAAGCUCUUGAAAUUUUAACACAGAAGUGACUGCAUUAUUUAGAACAUUAAUGUGGUUUCAGCAAAAAGUAAUUAUUGGUUAUCUGUUGCCAGAGACAUUGUUUGCUGUCUAACUCUGGAGGUGCUGUUUAUGUAGGAAAUAAUGCAAAUACUGUCAAAUAUUUUAAGUAAGUCUACAGUAAAUAUUUUCUGUGUGCUUUAACUGCCUUUGAUUGAAGAAACUGGACUGGUACCAAAGAGAAUACAUGUAAUUUCUCCUUAA